rnacentral:rRNA from 1 species
GUGGGGAAUAUUGGACAAUGGGCGAAAGCCUGAUCCAGCCAUGCCGCGUGUGUGAAGAAGGUCUUCGGAUUGUAAAGCACUUUAAGUUGGGAGGAAGGGCAGUAAGUUAAUACCUUGCUGUUUUGACGUUACCGACAGAAUAAGCACCGGCUAACUUCGUGCCAGCAGCCGCGGUAAUACGAAGGGUGCAAGCGUGAAUCGGAAUUACUGGGCGUAAAGCGCGCGUAGGUGGUUUUGUAAGUUGGAGGUGAAAUCCCCGGGCUCAACCUGGGAACUGCCUCAAAAACUGCAUGACUAGAGUACGGUAGAGGGUAGUGGAAUUUCCUGUGGAGCGGUGAAAUGCGUAGAUAUAGGAAGGAACACCAGUGGCGAAGGCGACUACCUGGACUGAUACUGACACUGAGGUGCGAAAGCGUGGGGAGCAAACAGGAUUAGAAACCCCAGUAGUCC